CAUGCCUUACACAUGCAAGUCGAACGGCAGGCACGGGAGCAAUCCUGGUGGCGAGUGGCGAACGGGUGAGUAAUAUAUCGGAACGUGCCCAGUCGUGGGGGAUAACGUAGCGAAAGCUACGCUAAUACCGCAUACGAUCUAUGGAUGAAAGCGGGGGAUCGCAAGACCUCGCGCGAUUGGAGCGGCCGAUAUCAGAUUAGGUAGUUGGUGAGGUAAAGGCUCACCAAGCCGACGAUCUGUAGCUGGUCUGAGAGGACGACCAGCCACACUGGAACUGAGACACGGUCCAGACUCCUACGGGAGGCAGCAGUGGGGAAUUUUUGGACAAUGGACGCAAGUCUGAUCCAGCCAUUCCGCGUGCAGGAUGAAGGCCCUCGGGUUGUAAACUGCUUUUGUACGGAACGAAAAGGUUUCUAUUAAUACUAGGAGCUCAUGACGGUACCGUAAGAAUAAGCACCGGCUAACUACGUG
rnacentral:rRNA from 1 species